rnacentral:tRNA from 1 species
UGCGAGGUCGUCUAAUGGUAAGACUGCGGACUCUGAAUCCGUCUAUCGGGGUUCAACUCCCUGCCUCCCAGCCA